rnacentral:antisense_RNA from 1 species
CUUCAACGAGCCGAGCCACAGCGGCAGUUCGGGGUCGCGGCCGGUGCCGUAGGUCGCCAGCAGCGCCUCGGCCUC